AGAGUUUGAUCAUGGCUCAGGACGAACGCUUGCGGCGUGCCUAAGAAAUGCAAGUCGAGCGAGGGAUCACGCUGACCAAAGCUUCGGCAGAGGUCUUGUGAAACCUAGCGGCGAACGGUCGCGUAACACGUAAGCAACCUGCCCUGAAGCGGGGGAUAGCCCACCGAAAGGUGGAUUAAUACCGCAUGUGGAUGCUUUGUCGCAUGGCAGAGUAUCUAAAGCAGCAAUGCACUUCAGGAUGGGCUUGCGGCCUAUCAGCUAGUUGGUGGGGUAACGGCCUACCAAGGCGACGACGGGUAGCUGGUCUGAGAGGAUGGUCAGCCGGAUUGGGACUGAGACACGGCCCAGACUCCUACGGGGGGCAGCAAUUAGGAAUCUUGCGCAAUGGGGGCAACCCUGACGCAGCGACGCCGCGUGAGCGAUGAAGUCUUUCGGGAUGUAAAGCUCUGUCCUGUGGGGAAGAAGAAUGUGACGGUACCCACAGAGAAAGCCCCGGCUAACUACGUGCCAGCAGCCGCGGUAAUACGUAGGGGGCGAGCGUUGUCCGAAUUUACUGGGCGUAAAGCGCGUGUAGGCGGUUCUUUAAGUCAGGUGUGAAAUCCUGUGGCUCAACCACAGAACUGCAUUUGAAACUGAAGGGCUUGAGUGUGGGAGAGGAAAGUGGAAUUCCUGGUGUAGCGGUGAAAUGCGUAGAUAUCAGGAGGAACACCCGUGGCGAAGGCGGCUUUCUGGCCCACCACUGACGCUGAGACGCGAAAGCUAGGGGAGCGAACGGGAUUAGAUACCCCGGUAGUCCUAGCCGUAAACGAUGGAUACUAGGUGUUAGAGGUAUCGACCCCUCUAGUGCCGUAGCUAACGCAUUAAGUAUCCCGCCUGGGGAGUACGGCCGCAAGGUUAAAACUCAAAGGAAUUGACGG
rnacentral:rRNA from 1 species